rnacentral:misc_RNA from 1 species
GAUGAAGAACGCAGCGAAAUGCGAUAAGUAAUGUGAAUUGCAGAACUCAGUGAAUCAUCGAAUCUUUGAACGCACAUUGCGCCCCUUGGUAUCCCGAGGGGCAUGCCUGUUCGAGCGUCAUUUCACCACUCAAGCCUGGCUUGGUGUUGGGCGACGUCCUCUUUGGGGACGCGCCUCGAAACGCUCGGCGGCGUGGCACCGGCUUUAAGCGUAGCAGAAUCUUUCGCUUUGGAAGUCGGGGCCCCGUCUGCCGGAAGACCUGCUCGCAAGGUUGACCUCGGAUCAGGCAGGGAUACCCGCUGAACUUAAGCAUAUCAAUAAGCGGAGGA